rnacentral:rRNA from 1 species
UCCGUAGGUGAACCUGCGGAAGGAUCAUUAUCGUAGGGCUUCGGCCCUGUCGAGAUAGAACCCUUGCCUUUUUGAGUACCUUUCGUUUCCUCGGCAGGCUCGCCUGCCAAUGGGGACCCCAAAAAACACUUUGCAGUACCUGUAAUAGUCUGAACAAACAAACAAAAAUUAAAACUUUCAACAACGGAUCUCUUGGUUCUGGCAUCGAUGAAGAACGCAGCGAAAUGCGAUAAGUAGUGUGAAUUGCAGAAUUCAGUGAAUCAUCGAAUCUUUGAACGCACAUUGCGCCCUAUGGUAUUCCGUAGGGCAUGCCUGUUCGAGCGUCAUUCAAACCUUCAAGCUCUGCUUGGUGUUGGGCGUCUGUCCUGCCUCACGGCGCGGACUCGCCUCAAAUCUAUUGGCGGCCGGCACGUUGGCUUCGAGCGCAGCAGAAACGCGAACUCGGGCCCGUCGUAUUGGCUCCCAGAAGCUAUCUUCACAAUUUUGACCUCGGAUCAGGUAGGGAUACCCGCUGAACUUAA